AUUGAACGCUGGCGGCAGGCCUAACACAUGCAAGUCGAGCGGAUGAAGGGAGCUUGCUCCUGGAUUCAGCGGCGGACGGUUGAGUAAUGCCUAGGAAUCUGCCUGGUAGUGGGGGAUAACGUCCGGAAACGGUCGCUAAUACCGCAUACUUCCUGAGGGAGAAAGUGGGGGAUCUUCGGACCUCACGCUAUCAGAUGAGCCUAGGUCGGAUUAGCUAGUUGGUGGGGUAAAGGCCUACCAAGGCGACGAUCCGUAACUGGUCUGAGAGGAUGAUCAGUCACACUGGAACUGAGACACGGUCCAGACUCCUACGGGAGGCAGCAGUGGGGAAUAUUGGACAAUGGGCGAAAGCCUGAUCCAGCCAUGCCGCGUGUGUGAAGAAGGUCUUCGGAUUGUAAAGCACUUUAAGUUGGGAGGAAGGGCAGUAAGUUAAUACCUUGCUGUUUUGACGUUACCAACAGAAUAAGCACCGGCUAACUUCGUG
rnacentral:rRNA from 1 species